rnacentral:lncRNA from 1 species
GCCUGGGCGGCGUUGGUCCGGCGCCCAAUUCCCAGAUGCCUACGGGAAGGAGCUGUUUGACAAGGCCAACAAACACCACUUCUUACACAGCCUGGCCCUGUUAGGGGUGCCCCAUUGCAGAAAGCCACUCUGGGCUGGGUUAUUGCUAGCUUCCGGAACGACCUUAUUCUGCACCAGCUUUUACUACCAGGCUCUGAGUGGAGACCCCAGCAUCCAGACUUUGGCCCCUGCGGGAGGGACCCUGCUACUCUUGGGCUGGCUUGCCUUGGCUCUUUGAGCUCCCUUUUGCUUAAUUACUGGGUUUUCUGGGCAGUUUUUUUUUUAAAGAGUUGGAGUAAGAAGAGGAUUAAAAAGGAAAGGCAAAU